rnacentral:pre_miRNA from 1 species
CAACUACUCCCUCCGUUCGAAAUUACUUGUCGCGAAAAUAGAUGUAUCUAGAUAUAUUUUAGUUCUACAUACAUCCAUUUUUGAGACAAGUAAUUCCGAACAGAGGGAGUAGCAC